AUGGCCGUACCAUGCUGAAUAUACCGGUUCUCAUUAGAUCACCGAAGUCAAACAUCAUAGGGCGCGGUCAGUACUUGGGUGGGAGACCACCUGGGAACACCGCGUGCCGUU
rnacentral:rRNA from 1 species